rnacentral:rRNA from 1 species
GAUGAACGCUGGCGGCGUGCCUAAUACAUGCAAGUCGAGCGAACAGACGAGGUGCUUGCUCCUCUUACGUUAGCGGCGGACGGGUGAGUAACACGUGGAUAACCUACCUAUAAGACUGGGAUAACAUUGGGAAACCGGAGCUAAUACCGGAUAAUAUAUUGAACCGUAUGGUUCAAUAGUGAAAGACGCUUUUGCUGUCACUUAUGGAUGGCUCCGAGCCGAAUUAGCUAGUUGGUAAGGUAACGGCUUACCAAGGCAAGGAUGCGUACCCGACCGGAGAGGGUGAUCGCCCACACUGGAACGGGGACACGGUCCAAACUCCUGCGGGAGGCAGCAGUAGGAAAUCUUCCGGAAUGGGCGAAAGGCUGACGGAGCAACGCCGCGUGAGUGAUGAAGGUCUUCGGAUCGUAAAACUCUGUUAUUAGGGAAGAACAAAUGUGUAAGUAACUAUGCACGACUUGACGGUACCUAAUCAGAAAGCCACGGCUAACUACGUG